rnacentral:rRNA from 1 species
UAUUACCGCGGCUGCUGGCACGGAGUUAGCCGAUGCUUCUUCUGUAGGUAACGUCAAAUAGUGCAGGUGUUAACUACACUACCUUCCUCCCUACUGAAAGUGCUUUACAACCCGAAGGCCUUCUUCACACACGCGGCAUGGCUGCAUCAGGGUUUCCCCCAUUGUGCAAUAUUCCCCACUGCUGCCUCCCGUAGGAGU